rnacentral:rRNA from 1 species
GAUGAACGCUGGCGGCGUGCCUAAUACAUGCAAGUCGAGCGAACAGACGAGGAGCUUGCUCCUCUGACGUUAGCGGCGGACGGGUGAGUAACACGUGGAUAACCUACCUAUAAGACUGGGAUAACUUCGGGAAACCGGAGCUAAUACCGGAUAAUAUAUUGAACCGCAUGGUUCAAUAGUGAAAGACGGUUUUGCUGUCACUUAUAGAUGGAUCCGCGCCGCAUUAGCUAGUUGGUAAGGUAACGGCUUACCAAGGCGACGAUGCGUAGCCGACCUGAGAGGAUGAUCAGCCACACUGGAACUGAGACACGGUCCAGACUCCUACGGGAGGCAGCAGUAGGGAAUCUUCCGCAAUGGGCGAAAGCCUGACGGAGCAACGCCGCGUGAGUGAUGAAGGUCUUCGGAUCGUAAAACUCUGUUAUUAGGAAAGAACAAAUGUGUAAGUAACUAUGCACGUCUUGACGGUACCUAAACAAUAAGCCACGGCUAACUACGUG